GGUACAUUUGGUCUGUGAUUUAAACAGUGAAGGUACAUUUGGUCUGUGAUUUAUACAGUGAAGGUACAUUUGGUCUGUGAUUUAGACAGUGAAGGUACAUUUGGUCUGUGAUUUAAACAGUGAAGGUACAUUUGGUCUGUGAUUUAAACAGUGAAGGUACAUUUGGUCUGUGAUUUAAACAGUGAAGGUACAUUUGGUCUGUGAUUUAAACAGUGAAGGUACAUUUGGUCUGUGAUUUAAACAGUGAAGGUACAUUUGGUCUGUGAUUUAAACAGUGAAGGUACAUUUGGUCUGUGAUUUAAACAGUGAAGGUACAUUUGGUCUGUGAUUUAAACAGUGAAGGUACAUUUGGUCCAUGAUUUAAACAGUGAAGGUACAUUUGGUCUGUGAUUUAAACAGUGAAGGUACAUUUGGUC